rnacentral:rRNA from 1 species
UACGAAGGGGGCUAGCGUUGCUCGGAAUCACUGGGCGUAAAGCGCACGUAGGCGGUCUUUAAGUCAGGGGUGAAAUCCUGGAGCUCAACUCCAGAACUGCCUUUGAUACUGAGAGGCUUGAGUCCGGGAGAGGUGAGUGGAACUGCGAGUGUAGAGGUGAAAUUCGUAGAUAUUCGCAAGAACACCAGUGGCGAAGGCGGCUCACUGGCCCGGUACUGACGCUGAGGUGCGAAAG